GAUGACUUUUGACCUUCCGGACUAAUUUUCAAGUUUACAAAUUUUAUUAUUGAAAACGUAAUGUUUCGUACUAUCAAACCAAUAUGCGUGCUUCAGAUAACAUUUUGAAUCGGAAAAAAAAUCGAACGACCAGGAUCAACAAAUUGCAAUUGAUAGAAAUUACGCACUUCAUCUUUCCUGCCAAUUCGAGAUUCUAGCGGCGAGGCGCUUCAAUGGCCGGCUAAUAACUUCGCCAUUUUGCGACAAUUUAUGAUGAGUACAUUUUUCUUGUACUGUCCGAAUGUGUUUUAAAAUACACUCGAAAUUUUAAAAAGCAUCGUUAGUUAUCUCCGAUUGGAAAAAAUAACCAACAAUCAACGUUUCGCUUAAAAAUUAUGCUAUGCUGCUAUUUCUGCACAAUUUCGAGGUGUAACCCGAGGUGGUUGGAGAUGGUUGAGCGUGGUUAGUGGUGGUCAGGGUGAACGAAAGGGAGGACGAGGAAGACGAGGAGAACAAGGGAGACAAGGAGGACGAGGAUUUGUGCUCGGCAUAACCCGAGGUGAUUAUCGGUGGUUGUUGGAGGUGGUUGGCGGUGGUUAAAGGUGGUCGGAGGUGGACGAGGAGGAGGACGAGGAAGACGAGGAAAACAAGGUGGACGAGGAGGACGAGGAUUUG